AAGCUCGUAGUUGAAUUUCGGGAUUGACACAUCGGUCGUGCCCUAAGGGGUACGAACUGGUGUAGUCAAUUUCUCACCUUCUGGAGAACCGCGCUGUCCUUAAUUGGGUGACGCGGGGAACCAGGACCUUUACUUUGAAAAAAUUAGAGUGUUUAAAGCAGGCAUUUUGCUUGAAUACAUUAGCAUGGAAUAAUAAAAUAGGACGGCAUGAUUCUAUUUUGUUGGUUUCUAGGAUCACCGUAAUGAUUAAUAGGGAUAGUUGGGGGCAUUAGUAUUCAAUUGUCAGAGGUGAAAUUCUUGGAUUUAUUGAAGACUAACUACUGCGAAAGCAUUUGCCAAGGAUGUUUUCAUUAAUCAAGAACGAAAGUUAGGGGAUCGAAGACGAUCAGAUACCGUCGUAGUCUUAACCAUAAACUAUGCCGACUAGGAAUCAGACGAUGUUAAUUUUUUAAUGACUCGUUUGGCACCUUACGGGAAACCAAAGUGUUUGGGUUCCGGGGGGAGUAUGGUCGCAAGGCUGAAACUUAAAGGAAUUGACGGAAGGGCACCACCAGGGGUGGAGCCUGCGGCUUAAUUCGACUCAACACGGGAAAA
rnacentral:rRNA from 1 species